GGAUCUUCACAAAAUCCUGUUUUCUCCCUAAUCCCAGAGCUUCUCUCUUUCUAUUUUAGGGUUUUUCACCUCUUUGUAGGUUUUUAAACAUCGACGCCGAACUUCCACGGCCGCACCACAACGGAGUCCACCAAAUCACCGCGUUGGACCACCAAAUCCCUCACCGUCGCCAUGUCUAGCUCAACCACCACAACCGCUAUGGAGCCAAAGUCGACCGGAGCUCCAAAUCGGGGAAAAGCCCCAGCAGUCUGGAAAUCGGCCCCACCAACAACUCAGCAGGCAUCCGGUAAACUGCAAAUGUUUCGGCCCACUCCAUCGGGUUUUGAACUACAGGCGAGUAGUUUCGAGGCGACUCGCCCAACACGAUAGAAACCCCAUCUGGUGAAGUUCCGGUCGACUUCAUUGCAGAAGAAAAAGACCGGCCACCCCGUUUGUGUGUUUGAUUUCCAUUGAGCUCCUUUUAAUUUUUAGUUCAUUUUGUGAAAGUCGGUUUUUCAAUCUUGGUUAGUCGUGCAUAGUGUUUGUGUCAGGGGUAGAAAUUUCUCGAUGUUUUAUUUUGUCUCGCAUCUAGAGCCGAUUUGGUUACCUACUCGUUUCUUAUUUUCCAACUUAAACCCAAAGUCUCAAACUAGUUUCACCGACUAAUGAUAAAUUUGUAGACAUGAAACAUAUUGCAGUCAUUUGUGUUUGUUAACUUGUCUUUUUUUUCCUUUAAGGAAGUGGCCCUAACUGUCUCAUUUUUGCAUAACAAGGAAGCCGAGGGACACCGAUUAGACACAAUUAUGGCGCAUCCCAAACCAUCUAUUAGCGACGAAAUCAUCGCCAAUGUUACCCCCAAGCGGCCGGCUAAUCGGAUGCCAAUUUCAUCCUCUAAAAUAUCUCAAUUCUGAUAUUUUAAUGUAAAAUCUUUUUGGUCUACUUCUUCCUUCGGUGGGAGGAGUGCGUGGAUGACGACGAUGAGAG
rnacentral:lncRNA from 1 species